GGUUCCAAGACUUAGAAGUCUUCUCGGUCAUCCUUCAUCUCUCCAAAAUAUCAGAAACCAUAAACUGAUAAACCUGCAAUAUAUGUAACUGUAACUGAGGUUGGAAGAGAAAGAAAGGUUGAAGAUGUCGCUGGUGUGUUCCCAGAAAUGUUCAGUACUAUUUUCACAGGGCCGCGCAUGGCCGGCUGAAGCAUAUUGAAAACGGCAUGUGGAAAGAUGGGACAAGAAGCUCAUCGAGAAUUCUUCUCUUCCGAAUCAUGAACUGCUUCAGCUGUUGUGAUGAAGAUGAUAUGCAUAAAUCUACUGACAAUGGAGGUGCUUACAUGAUGAAAAAUCCUGUAGGUAAUGCUCACCGUCCUGUAGUGUAGGUCUUGUGUUGAAUCCAGCCUGUGUGUUAAAACGGGCUAUAUUUUGAUGCUUCUUUUUUAUUUUGGGUAUAUGACUUGCAUUUGUUUUUUGUAUAUCUGCCACUGGUUUUGUCAAUUCGAGUUUGGAGUUCAAACUGAGUUGGGUUUCAUGACACGGGAAAUGAGGGAAGUCAUCAUGCCUCCGGUAAUGCGCCCAAGGGUGGUCAAAUGGUAAAGGUCCAGCCUAUUGAAGUAAUGAAGUUCCGCUUAUACCAGUAGAGGAGCUAAAGGAAAUUACUAUUAAUUAACUUUGGGACAAAUGCCUUGAUUGGGGAAGGUUCAUAUGGAAGUGUAUAUUAUGGAGUGCUUAAAAGCGGGGAGCAUGCAGCCAUCAAGAAGCUGGAUGUAUAACAUAUAAAUAAGUGUCUAAUUAAAAAAAAAAAAUUAUAGUUAGUAAUAAUUGAUUGAAGAAAUGAGAAAAAAGUUAAAAAUGUUAUAAACUAGAGAAAAAUAUAGAGAUAGAAGCGAGAAAUAGAAUAUGGAGAAGGUAGAAGUGUGUAUUUCAUUCUCAUUAGACCCCUUUAUAUAGGAGUAAUGUUUACAUCAUAAGGACAUAACUAAUGAGUAU